AAUUUCUAUAUUUAUUUCAUCUAUAUAAUGGUGUAAUUUUUUUUUAUAAAUUUAUAUUUUUCAAAAUCAUGUGACUUAAAACGAUUUCUCAAUAAAGGCGGUAUCAUGACAACUCGGUUCGAAUGUGGGGCGUUUGUAGUGUGUAUUUGCAUUAAUCGUUUGCAGUUCAAAAUUAUGGCAUUUAAAUUGCAAAAAUAAAAUACUUUGUUGUCGAGUGAUUUGAAUUUAUUAAAACUAAAGCGAAAAAGUUUCAACAAAAUCUUCAGAAUUCCUCCGGUCAUAUAAUAAUAUUAGGCCCCGCCAAAAGAAUUUGAGUUUCUUACUUGCAACAUUAAACAACUCAAUUUAUCUCAACGAUCUAUUAACAAGCGAUAUCCUUGGUUGGAGUAAAACAUGUAAUAAGCCCGAUCUUGAGAGGAAAGAACACAAUUAUGCUGACAAGUACUACAGUAUAAUAGAUCUUUUUACAAUCCUAUGUAACUAAUUUUGUUCAAUAUAUUACUUAUUUAUAUUUUUUUUAUA